rnacentral:sRNA from 1 species
UGGACGGGUUCUGAGAGUAUCAAGGUCGGGGAAAU